rnacentral:rRNA from 1 species
UGGGGAAUUUUGGACAAUGGGCGAAAGCCUGAUCCAGCAAUGCCGCGUGUGUGAAGAAGGCCUUCGGGUUGUAAAGCACUUUUGUCCGGAAAGAAAUCCUUGGCUCUAAUACAGUCGGGGGAUGACGGUACCGGAAGAAUAAGCACCGGCUAACUACGUGCCAGCAGCCGCGGUAAUACGUAGGGUGCAAGCGUUAAUCGGAAUUACUGGGCGUAAAGCGUGCGCAGGCGGUUUGCUAAGACCGAUGUGAAAUCCCCGGGCUCAACCUGGGAACUGCAUUGGUGACUGGCAGGCUAGAGUAUGGCAGAGGGGGGUAGAAUUCCACGUGUAGCAGUGAAAUGCGUAGAGAUGUGGAGGAAUACCGAUGGCGAAGGCAGCCCCCUGGGCCAAUACUGACGCUCAUGCACGAAAGCGUGGGGAGCAAACAGGACUAGAUACCCUGGUAGUCCACGCCCUAAACGAUGUCAACUAGUUGUUGGGGAUUCAUUUCCUAGUAACGUAGCUAACGCGUGAAGUUGACCGCCUGGGGAGUACGGUCGCAAGAUUAAAACUUAAAUGAAUUGACGGGGUCAUAGCUGUUUCCU